rnacentral:piRNA from 1 species
AUGGCUCAGAGGUUAAGAGCAGUGG